AAUAUUGCGCAAUGGGGGAAACCCUGACGCAGCAACGCCGCGUGAGCGACGAAGGCCUUCGGGUCGUAAAGCUCUGUCUAGAGGGAUGAAAACUGACAGUACCUCUGGAGGAAGCCCCGGCUAACUACGUGCCAGCAGCCGCGGUAAUACGUAGGGGGCAAGCGUUGUCCGGAAUUAUUGGGCGUAAAGGGUGCGUAGGUGGCCUUUUAAGUCAGAUGUGAAAGCCCACGGCUUAAACGUGGGACUGCAUUUGAAACUGGAGGGCUUGAAUAUCGGAGAGGGUAGUGGAAUUCCCAGUGUAGCGGUGGAAUGCGUAGAUAUUGGGAGGAACACCAGUGGCGAAGGCGACUACCUGGACGAAAACUGACGCUGAGGCACGAAAGCUAGGGGAGCAAAC
rnacentral:rRNA from 1 species